UUAAAAAUCUUGAUAAACAGAGUAGUUGAUUUGCUUUUCUUGACAGAGACUUGUUGUUAGGUGAAAAACAAAAAAAAGUCUUCAAUGAAGAUGGGUUUAGAUCGAUUGCACUAGUGAUACUUAGCUAGUGACGGGGUUGCGCUCGUUAACAACGCAAACUAUUGAUUGAUAGUUAGUAAGGCUAUUUGCAUAAGUAAAUAGCAAAUAAAGGUGGUAACACGAGCAUUCGUCCUUUUU
rnacentral:ncRNA from 1 species